GUGAAAUUGAUCACUUAUAAACAUAUACCCCUUUGUUUGACUGUGAAAAAUUUCUUCCAUCCCCUUUGUUCGUAAGGAAAAGCCUCGCUUCAGCGGGGCUUUUUC
rnacentral:sRNA from 1 species